GAGGGACGCUGCUGACGUGCGCUUUGGCUACCCGAGCGCGUAUUUAAGCUGAGCGCGGCGCCGAGUGGCGUUGAGAAGGCCGAGCGACAUGGACGCACGAGUUCUGGCGCCGCUGCUGUGCCUGCAGCUGCUGCUGCUGAUGACGUCGCCAACGCAGUCGACCGUCGUGAGGCCGCCGCCGGCGCCUUCCCAGCAGCUGUCGGCACUGAAGCGGUUCAGAAGGCUUCAGUCCGAAUGCGCCUGGAGAGUCGGGGCGUGCAUCUUGCUGCAAAAGGUGCCGACAGAUCUUCCUCCACCCCAUCCUACUCCGCAGGGAAAAUUUGGCUAGACGCUGGCCAAUCAAAUGAGAAUCUUUUGGUGGUCUUUUUAAAAUCUCGCUUGCACCCGAACAUAAUCAUUUGCCAUUGUAAUCAAACAAAACAUUUGUGUCACCUCGACACGUGUAUGGAAAGUUAUGGGCCACAAUAAACAAAUGACCAUCUUGUCGUGUUGUUGCGUCAUCAUAUAUGACGACGUGAUUUGAAAAAGCUGAUGAUUUUUGCCCUCCAAAAUGGCGGCCAGAGACUUUAACGUGAUAGGUGCACGCCGGCACCUGUCCAAAAUGAGGAAGAGGGUUUUUUUUGUUGUUGCAUCACAGGUGGUGAAAGAAGACCAGCAGCUUGUUUACCUGCCGCCACUUCCUCUUUUGUCUUCUGUGUAAAUACACGCAAUUACUUUGGAAGUUAGUGGGCUCAAACCACAAAACAUCUUGUUUACUAAAUUACAGUACUCAAAAUAUGUUUUUCCAUUGAUCGUAUGGUUGUUAUGCGUGAUGCUUAAAAAUUGAUUUGUUGACCUUUAUCAACAGCGAUGAGCCAAACUUUCCAUUAAGUAUAUCACGCACGAAGACACAAUAUCACAGGGCUCAAGAUUGUGCCUUGAGGUAUGCCGCUGAGAUGGUAGUAAGUGCGGUUAAUGAACAAGGUGUAAAACAUAACGGAAAAAGUUGUAACCUACCAAGAAUAGCUAGAAUAAAGUAUUCUUUUAGGAUUAUGAUUGUUACCCCCCCCCCCCCCCCCCGGAAAAAUAUAUAUAUAUUUUUUUAAAUUAACAUUUUUUCCAGAUUUUUUUCCCAUCCAUUUUCUUUGCCGCUUAUCCUCACGAGGGUCGCAGGGAAUGCUGGAGCCUAUCCCAGCUGUCAACAGGUAGGAGGUGUGGUACACCCUGAAUUGGUCGCCUGCCAAUCGCAGGGCAAAUAGAGACAAACAGCCACACUCAGAAUCACACCUAGGGGCAAUUUAGUGUGUCCAAUCAAUGUUGCAUGAUUUUUUUGGAAUGUGGGAGGAAACCGGAAUGGCCGGAGAAUAUGCAAACGCCACACAGGCGGGUCUGGGAUUGAACCUGGGACCUCAGAACUGUGAGGCCAACGCUUUACCAGCUGUUCCACCAUGCCACAGAUUUUUAUUAUUGUAAAAUAAGUCAUCUUAAAAAAAAAAUAGAAAUUGAACUUGACUUGACUGGACUUUGAUAUUAGGCACAGGUGUCAAACACAAGGCCCGCGGGCCCAGAUCUGGCCCGGCGCAUGAUUUCAUGUGGCCCCCGAUGGUAAAUCAUCUGCAUCAACUCUCAUUUUUGUGAAAAUCUUUUCAAAAUUUCAAAUUGUCACGUCAUAUAAAUAACGUUGCGUUAUUGCAAGCAUGUUUGUGUCACCAAACAUCACCAAUAGUUGAAAAGCCCAUUAUCCUUGAUUUCUGAGAAUAAAACUAGUUUAUGAUGAGGCAGUUAAAGAUUUUUCACAUUUUUCACAGUCAUGAGGGCCCCCCCGAGGGAAAUCGUAACGGGAAUGUGGCCCCUGAGAAAAAUGAGUUUGACACCCCUGAUGUGGCGUAUCCUAGUUUAUAUACAUGACUGUAUGUAGAUUCCAUAUUUUCAAGAUUCGGAAUUUUUUUUGUUUGCAGUUUCCUUGAGGACCGUUUCUUGUUAUUUUAAAAAUUUUCCUCCGGUGUGAAAGUUUGAUGUGACGUCUGUUGCGGUUUUGCUGCGAGAACGCGUGUGGACAAACAGGAAGUUGUUACCGCUGCCUUCUUUUUCUAACGGGAAGAGUGCGUUUGUUUUGGUUGUCGGCCGUCAAUAUAUAAAAGGAGCUGCACGGUGUUGCGGCUCCGCGACUCUGCCUCCGUUUACCAUGGAGCAAAAAGUGCUGGUGUUCCUGUUCUGCCUGCAGGCCUUCCUGCUCAUCACCGCGUUGGAUUCGGCCGACGCCGCCAGUUGGUUUACCAACAAACGCCGACCGAGUCCGGGAAGAAGAACUCCUGCAAAAAAAAAACAAAUUAUCGAUUUGACUCGUACUGCUACAUGAGACCAGGGGCGUGCAGUCUUUUAGUAAGGCCCGCACCAAACAGAGUUGGACUCGAAGCGAACGUGGCAAAACCCAUCACGGGUCACUCGCCAUGAUGACGCAAGCAGGCCGAGCUCCGCUUUCUUGUCUCUGCUUUCUUUUUCAGCGACGUUGAUGUCACGAUCGUGACGCAUAAAAUGUGAUGCGAUGCUGAUUAAACAUCUGAGCAAGCACUCA